GACGUAGGGCGCGAGCGUUGUCCGGAUUUAUUGGGCGUAAAGAGCUCGUAGGUGGUUUGUCGCGUUGUUCGUGAAAACCGGGGGCUUAACCCUCGGCGUGCGGGCGAUACGGGGCAGACUGGAGUACUGCAGGGGAGACUGGAAUUCCUGGUGUAGCGGUGGAAUGCGCAGAUAUCAGGAGGAACACCGGUGGCGAAGGCGGGUCUCUGGGCAGUAACUGACGCUGAGGCGCGAAAGCUAGGGGAGCAAACGGG
rnacentral:rRNA from 1 species